rnacentral:rRNA from 1 species
GACACUGGUGGUCAGGUAGAAUACCAAAGCGAUCGAGCGAAUCCUGGUCAAGGAACUCGGCAAAUUGCUCCCGUGCCUUCGGCAUAAGGGAGACCCCCUGCGGUGAUGAGCGGCGGGGGGUGGCACAGGCCAGGGGGUAGCGACUGUUUACCAAAAACACAGGAGCGUGCGAAGGCGCAAGCCGCUGUAUACGCUCUGACGCCUGCCCGGUGCCGGAAGGUUAAGAGGAUCCGUCAGCUUUCUGCGAAGCGGUGAAUUCAAGCCCCGGUAAACGGCGGUGGUAACUAUAACCAUCCUAAGGUAGCGAAAUUCCUUGUCGGGUAAGUUCCGACCUGCACGAAUGGCGUAACGACUUCCCCACUGUCUCGACCAGGAGCUCGGCGAAAUUGCAGUACGAGUAAAGAUGCUCGUUAAGCGCAGAAGGACGAAAAGACCCCGGGACCUUUACUAUACCUUGGUAUUGGCAUUAGGCGCGGAUUGUGUAGCAUAGGCGGGAGGCUUCGAGGCGGGUGCGCCAGCAUUCGCGGAGCCGCAAGGUGAAAUACCGCUCUGUUCUCGUUUGAUGUCUAACCUCGAACAGUCAUCCUGUUCAGGGACAGUGCCUGGCGGGUAGUUCAACUGGGGCGGUUGCCUCCCAAAGAGUAACGGAGGCGCUCAAAGGUCCGCUCGGCCCGGUUGGCAAUCGGGUGUCGAGUGUAAUCGCACAAGCGGGCUUGACUGCGAGAUCGACGGAUCGAGCAGGGACGAGGGUCGGAGAUAGUGAUCCGGUGCCGGCGCACGGGCGCGGCAUCGCUCAACGGAUAAAAGGUACCCCGGGGAUAACAGGCUGAUCAUUCCCAAGAGUCCAUAUCGACGGGAUGGUUUGGCACCUCGAUGUCGGCUCGUCGCAUCCUGGGGCUGGAGCAGGUCCCAAGGGUUCGGCUGUUCGCCGAUCAAAGCGGCACGCGAGCUGGGUUCAGAACGUCGUGAGACAGUUUGGUCUCUAUCCUCUGCGCUCGUUGGAAUCUUGAGGAGGCCUGCCCAUAGUACGAGAGGACCUGGGUGGACGAACCUCUGGUAUGCCGGUCAUCACGCCAGUGGCGCGGCCGGUUGGCUACGUUCGGAAGGGAUAACCGCUGAAAGCAUCUAAGCGGGAAGCCUUCUCCAAGAUAAGGAUUCCAUGCGGCCCCGAGCCGCUGAAGACCCCAUGCAGAACACGUGGUCGAUAGGCCGGACGUGGAAGCCCCGCGAGGGGUGGAGCCGACCGGUACUAAUGGUCGAGAGGCAACCG